rnacentral:rRNA from 1 species
CCUACGGGUGACAGCAGUGAGGAAUAUUGGUCAAUGGACGAGAGUCUGAACCAGCCAAGUAGCGUGAAGGAUGACUGCCCUAUGGGUUGUAAACUUCUUUUAUAAAGGAAUAAAACGAGGCACGUGUGCCUUUUUGCAUGUACUUUAUGAAUAAGGAUCGGCUAACUCCGUGCCAGCAGCCGCGGUAAUACGGAGGAUCCGAGCGUUAUCCGGAUUUAUUGGGUUUAAAGGGUGCGCAGGCGGAAUGUCAAGUCAGCGGUAAAAUUUCGGGGCUCAACCCCGUCGUGCCGUUGAAACUGGCGUUCUUGAGUGAGCGAGAAGUAUGCGGAAUGCGUGGUGUAGCGGUGAAAUGCAUAGAUAUCACGCAGAACUCCGAUUGCGAAGGCAGCAUACCGGCGCUCAACUGACGCUCAUGCACGAAAGCGUGGGUAUCGAACAGGAUUAAAUACCCUGGUAGUC